UCCGAUCCCCCGGUGGGCCCUACAUGCCCCAGUCCAACACUGGUUAACAGGAUACUGAAAUGGUUACUGCAGGCAGGCUUGACAAGGACUUGCAUCUGACAAAGACUCAAUCUUGGAUUCACAAAAACCCACGUGUGGCAAAAUGGAUCAAACACAAUGAUCCCUGACGAAGCCCUAGAUGGGAGAAACGCGUUGGAUCGCUGCAUGUCAAUCUCAGGAGCCGGAGCUCAACCCUAAUUUCCACUGAUUUGCUGACGACACGUGAAUCCCGGAAGCCGCGAAACCGGAAGCGACUGGCCUGCUUUCCACGCUUGCGGGCCAGACGAUACGAGCGGUAUCGGAGCUCUGGGAAUCGGCUGCCCGGCCCCACCGGAGGUCCUGCAGAUACGGACCCGGGAGAGGAGGGAACGGAGGACUCUGGACACUCUCGGUUCACAGGUACUGUUACCCGAUAAGCACUAGUUCACAUAUGUGUGGCGUGCAAAAAAAGUAGAGUGCUGGAAGUUACCCAUAUAACAUAAACAGUCACAGUGGACAAGGGCAGAUUAAACCGUGAUCCUCCCAAGAAACCUAUCAGCCAUUAAACUUAAGCUGCUGGGACGAGGUGAUACACGGUGGCACAUUCGUAUAGGAAGACCCUUACAAAUUUAAAAAACUGCUUUUCUAAAGGACAUUUUCAUCCACGUGGGAUAAGCAGGUCUCGGGACUCUUUUCCUAUGCCCUUUGGGGCGAGCAUUGAAUUACAAUUAUGAGCAUCGGCACACUGAUAUGACCAUUUGUGAAAGACAAUAGAUUGUCAUUAUCAUCACAUUGUUGUGUUCAUCAGUUUUUUAUAAGAGAAAGCGUGCUAUUUUCUUUGGAUGAAAUUUUAUUAUUUUAUGAAUAUGUUUUAUAUGUACAAAUAAAUCUAGAAUCAGUCUGAC